UACGUAGGGUGCAAGCGUUUGUCCGGAAUUAUUGGGCGUAAAGCGCACGUAGGCGGUUCGUUAAGUCAGAUGUGAAAGCCCUCGGCUCAACCGAGGAAGUGCAUCUGAAACUGGCGAGCUAGAGUACUAAAGAGGGUCGCGGAAUUCCCGGUGUAGAGGUGAAAUUCGUAGAUAUCGGGAGGAACACCGGUGGCGAAGGCGGCGACCUGGGUAGAUACUGACGCUGAGGUGCGAAAGCGUGGGGAGCAAACAGG
rnacentral:rRNA from 1 species